UACAGAGGUCCCAAGCGUUACUGAGAAUCACUGGGUUUAAAGGGUGCGUAGGUGGUCCGUUAAGUCAGUUGUGAAAUCCCCGGGCUCAACCCGGGAACUGCUUCUGAUACUGGCGGACUUGAGGCCAGUAGAGGUCACUGGAACUGACGGUGGAGCGGUGAAAUGCGUAGAUAUCGUCAGGAACGCCGGUGGUGAAGACGGGUGACUGGGCUGGUUCUGACACUGAGGCACGAAAGCGUGGGGAGCGAACGGGAUUAGAUACCCCGGUAGUCCACGCCCUAAACGAUGCAGACUAGAUUGCAGCGGGUUACACCCCGUUGCGGUCGGAGCGAAAUUGUUAAGUCUGCCACCUGGGAAGUACGGUCGCAAGGCUAAA
rnacentral:rRNA from 1 species